CGAGUAGGCGGGCCUGCAAGUCAGUAGUGAAAUACCACGGCUUAACUGUGGAACUGCUAUUGAAACUGUGGGUCUUGAGUGAUGGAGAGGCAGGCGGAAUUCCCGGUGUAGCGGUGAAAUGCGUAGAGAUCGGGAGGAACACCAGUGGCGAAGGCGGCCUACUGGACAUUAACUGACGCUGAGGCGCGAAAGCGUGGGGAGCAAACAGGAUUAGAUACCCUGGUAGUCCACGCUGUAAACGAUGGAUACUAGGUGUGGGGGGUACUGACCCCUUCCGUGCCGGAGUUAACACAAUAAGUAUCCCACCUGGGGAGUACGGCCGCAAGGUUGAA
rnacentral:rRNA from 1 species